GACCCGGUGGCUCAGUCGGGUAGAGGUUUAGCUUUGACAUAGAAGGUCCCGGGUUCAAUCCCCACUGCGGUCA